UGAGAUUUUGGCUCUGUGGUAGAGCACUUGCCUAGCAUGUGUGAAGCACUGGGUUCGAUUCUCAGCACCUCAU
rnacentral:tRNA from 1 species